UAGUAAUAGUUAAAGCUGCCAUGUUUUAGGAAAGAGAUACAUCGAAAGAAGUGUGGAGAGGAUUAUUGGGGAAUAUUGUAAGAAGGGCUCUUGUCCUCGUUGGCUCGUCCUUAUGUUCACUGGACUCCUCGAGCUUGCUCAACAACUUGGCCUACACUUUUUUUUCUCUACUCGAGUUAAGCAAAUGAUAAACGACUUGUUCUUCCGACGCCAAGAGAUUCUCGACCAGGAAUUGCUCGUUGAUGGCCGUUGCAACCGGCAGCCUUUACUUGCAUACCUCGAGGUAUUGCCAUUGACAUUAUACACUGAAAAUCAAGAAGACAUCAUUGGGAAACUCGAUAAUUUAGAUGGCUCUUAGUGUCAAUCACCUUCAGCAACUGCAGCAGCGUUUAUGCUCUCACGCCAUACAAAAUGUCUGGCUUAUCUGCAAUCUCUAGUUCAGAGAUGCCCUCAUGGAGUGCCACAAAUUUACCCCCUGAAUGAAGAAUUCAUCAAGCUCUCUUUGGUCAAUAUAAUGGACAACUUCGGGUUAGGAGAGUACUUCAGUAAAGAGAUUGAACAUUUUCUUCUUCAAAUUCACAAGUGAGG